rnacentral:tRNA from 1 species
GUUUCUGUAGUGUAGUGGUUAUCACAUUUGCCUCAGGCACGAAACGUCCCCAGUUCGAAACCAGGUGGAAACA